rnacentral:tRNA from 1 species
ACCAGGAUGGCUGAAUGGUUACGGCAUUGGACUCAUCUCCCAAUGGGUAUGAGCCUGCGUGGGUUCGAAACUACUUCUGGUA